GGACUGUGGCUCAAUGAAAGAGCCUCUGCUUUGCGCACAGAAGCUCAAGGUUCAAUCCUUGGCAUAUCCA
rnacentral:tRNA from 1 species